ncrna:unclassified sequences S15-Flavobacteria ribosomal protein leader
UACUUUUGCACGGUCUUAUAAUAGCUGUAAGACAUACAUAAAAAUCAUUAAACAAAUAUUGGAAUG